GAUGAAGAACGUAGCGAAAUGCGAUACGUAAUGUGAAUUGCAGAAUUCAGUGAAUCAUCGAAUCUUUGAACGCAUAUUGCGCUCUCUGGUAUUCCGGAGAGCAUGCUUGUUUGAGUAUCAGUAAACACCUCAACUUCCAUAUCUUUUUUUGAAAUGGGAGUUGGUCUUGAGUGAUCCCAACGCUUUUCCUCACCGAAAAGUGGCGGGUUACUUGAAAUGCAGGUGCAGCUGGACUUUUCUCUGAGCUAUAAGCAUAUCUAUUUAGUCUGCCUAAAAAACAGAUUAUUACCUUUGCUGCAGCUAACAUAAAGGAGAUUAGUUCUUGUGCUGACUGAUGCAGGAUUCACAAAGACAGCUUCGGCCGACUUUGUAAACUCGAUCUCAAAUCAAGUAAGACUACCCGCUGAACUUAAGCAUAUCAAUAAGCGGAGGA
rnacentral:misc_RNA from 1 species